AGAGUGAACGCUGGCGGUAGGCCUAACACAUGCAAGUCGAACGGCAGCACAGUGGUAGCAAUACCAUGGGUGGCGAGUGGCGGACGGGUGAGGAAUACAUCGGAAUCUACCUUUUCGUGGGGGAUAACGUAGGGAAACUUACGCUAAUACCGCAUACGCCCUUCGGGGGAAAGCCGGGGAUCGCAAGACCUGGCGCGGAUAGAUGAGCCGAUGUCGGAUUAGCUAGUUGGUGAGGUAAUGGCUCACCAAGGCGACGAUCCGUAGCUGGUCUGAGAGGAUGAUCAGCCACACUGGAACUGAGACACGGUCCAGACUCCUACGGGGAGGCAGCAGGUGGGGGAAAUAGUUGGAACAAGUUCGGGGG
rnacentral:rRNA from 1 species